AUUUUUUUUUAACUAGUAUCUAUACUAGUGAGUGAGCAAACUCCCAAAUGUUUGUAGACUAUAUGGAAGGCUUAAACAGAUUGCUCCCCAUUCCUCUCAUUUGCAAUACAUAAUCUAUUUAGAAAAAAAGCAUGAUUAAAUAGACUACAAAGGUUAAUGGCUAUGCCAAGGAGCGGUUCAGUUCUUAUCCAUCAGAAAGCUUAAAUGUACCGAAAAACACUAGUUGAAGAGAAUAUCAAUAUUGGCCAAUACAAAAUUAAGUAAUUGUGGAUGGUUCUAAAAACUCAGUUCAUGAAGCUUAGCAACUUGACUAGUAUAAACACUAGUGCAAUUUCAGCUGUUGAACUUGUUUGACACUAGUUCUCAAAAUAAACGCUGAAAGUAUGCAACUUUAGUGAAAGCCAUAAAGAUGUAAGACAUUUUAAAAAACUACAAGUUUCAGAUAUGAAUAGUCUUGUUCGUACUGUCCUGGGAUAUCUGCCAGCAAAUGCAUGCCAUAGCAAAUUUUGCAAGUGACAGCACUAACGUAAAUUAAGUCAUCCUAGUUCCCAGUGUCUUCCAACUUGGAAUCAAUCUGCAGGAGUAAACUCAUCAAGCUGUUGGAGCCUUGUUGCUUGCAAUUAUGUGCAUCUGAACUUUCGUUACUUUUAAACUUUAAUUAAAGUUCUCCAGGGCAGAUACAGUUGAAGCUAGUAUGCCAAACAGAACCCAGCAUUGCACACUUGACAGUCCUCCAAAAGUGAGGAAUGUUACUCUUGAUUUUGGAGUAAGGUGGCUGUCCUAAAUGCUCAAACUAUAUAGACUUUGUUGCUUACAAAUUAAUGUACCUUCAUGUUUUUUAAAGAGUCUGUGUUCUGGUCUCUUUUUUUUCUCCUCUUGCACCCCAACUAGCUACAUAGGUGGCAAGUUUUCCAAAGUGCUUCAGGUAAUAUACAAAUAAUCAUCUACUGAGCUUAACUUUAACUUACUUGAAUAUCUAAAGUCUAAUUUGAGAGUUAGAUCCAUAGUCAUCUUUUUUGGAAGGCAUUUUAAUAGGUAAGUUUUGUGACUUUAAAAUGUUUAAGCACUCUGGGUGUGGUAUAGGGUUACUAUAUAUUUUCACAUACUUAAAUGUUCCCCCUCCCCCCUCUCCAGCUCUUUACUCAUGGUGGUUAUCUUGAAUUACUACACUGCUAAUGUAUCUAGGUUUAUGCAAAGCUCCCAUUCAGAUUUUUAGAUUCUGUAAGUUUCAUAGGGUGUUGCACUGUUUCAAUACUUUUGAUGGUUACUACAUGUGUUUAAACUGUCCAUCUUCACUAAUUGCUGGAGGUUCCUGGACACCUAUUGUCUGCCCUGCAAGGCCAUGCAAAUGUGAGGCAGAGAGUAUGAGUGACCAGUUUUAUAGCUGACCUUUUUCAUUUGGUUAAAAAAAAAAAAUCCCUGUCCAGCUAUGCUGAGGUACAACUGCGGUGCUCUCAUCCUUAUGACCUGUCGGCUCCAACUAUUUAUUUUCAACACAGAACAACUACAGCUGCUUUAACAGAAUGAUCAGUGGAUAAGACUACAUCAGCACUUUGACUACAAGCAAAGCUUAACUACCUUCUGCAAACUUGCCUUGCUAGUCCAGAGGCUAAAUGACAGAUCCCAUAGUUUACCCCCUGGGUGGAGCAGAACUUUGGAGUCUCUAUCAAGGGACAAGAAAUCCACUUACUAUGCUACUGGGAGGCAGUCUGGUCUAUUACUGUACAGUGACUAGAUCAGAUCUUUCCAUACAGAUGUGUGAAUAACUUUUUGGAUGCUUGUUUCAACUAUAGAUAGGCAUAUUAAAACAGCCCAUAAGUUUCAUA